CCUACGGGCGGCAGCAGUGGGGAAUAUUGGACAAUGGGCGCAAGCCUGAUCCAGCCAUGCCGCGUGGAUGAUGAAGGCCUUAGGGUUGUAAAGUCCUUUUAACGGGGAAGAUAAUGACGGUACCCGUAGAAUAAGCCCCGGCUAACUUCGUGCCAGCAGCCGCGGUAAUACGAAGGGGGCUAGCGUUGCUCGGAAUCACUGGGCGUAAAGCGCACGUAGGCGGCUUUCUAAGUCAGGGGUGAAAUCCUGGAGCUCAACUCCAGAACUGCCGUGGAUACUGGGAAGCUUGAGUUCGGGAGAGGUGAGUGGAACUGCGAGUGUAGAGGUGAAAUUCGUAGAUAUUCGCAAGAACACCAGUGGCGAAGGCGGCUCACUGGCCCGAUACUGACGCUGAGGUGCGAAAGCGUGGGGAGCAAACAGGAUUAGAUACCCCAGUAGUCU
rnacentral:rRNA from 1 species